AAGAGCGGGUGAGCAAGCAGAGGCCACGUCGGACGUCUGCCACGCUGAGACUGGGGAGUGAGGAUCAAGCUGGAAAAGGAAGGAGGAAAUGGAUUGUCAAAUGGAUGUCUGUCAUGCUAAGAGUCCUGGACUUUACCAAGAAGCAGUGUUGCCUAUGAGUAGAAAAAGAAAUCACACAAUAUGUUAAAGAAUAAGCAACAAGGCCAAAACAAACAAGAGGAACAGCUCGGUGAAUUUCACUAUCUAACAACUUCUGCAUCUUUUCUUGGCCGAAGAAUGUAAGAGACUAAGAAAUCCAUCUUGAUCUUGCUGUUCAAAAUCCAUUAAAAAUCUUGGUUAUAAACAUUAUGUAACAACACAGAAAAAGAGCUUAGCAUAAAAAAAAAAGCUACAAAAUUGAAUAUCCACUCUGCUUGCAACUAUCCUUUUAAAGAAAGGGGAAAAUAAAUGAGAAGAUUA